rnacentral:rRNA from 1 species
UAGUUGAUCAUGGCUCAGAGCGACGCUGCGGCAGGCUUANUACAUGCAAGUCGAGCGCNCUUCGGGUAGCGGCGGACGGGGAGUAACGCGUGGAACGUGCCCUAAGGUACGGAACAAUUAAGGAAACUUCAGCUAAUNCCGUAUGUGCCCUUCGGGGAAAGAUUUAUCGCCUUAGGAGCGGCCCGCGUUGGAUUAGCUAGUUGGUGGGGUAAAGGCCCACCAAGGCUACGAUCCAUAGCUGGUCUGAGAGGAUGAUCAGCCACACUGGGACUGAGACACGGCCCAGACUCCUACGGGAGGCAGCAGUAGGGAAUCUUGCGCAAUGGGCGAAAGCCUGACGCAGCCAUGCCGCGUGAAUGAUGAAGGUCUUAGGAUCUGUAAAAUUCUUUCACCGGGGAAGAUAAUG